rnacentral:rRNA from 1 species
CCUACGGGAGGCAGCAGUGGGGAAUAUUGGACAAUGGGGGGAACCCUGAUCCAGCCAUGCCGCGUGUGUGAAGAAGGCCCUCGGGUUGUAAAGCACUUUCAGUGAGGAAGAACGCCUGGUGGUUAAUACCCAUCAGGUAAGACAUCACUCACAGAAGAAGCACCGGCUAACUCCGUGCCAGCAGCCGCGGUAAUACGGAGGGUGCGAGCGUUAAUCGGAAUUACUGGGCGUAAAGCGCGCGUAGGUGGCUUGAUAAGCCGGUUGUGAAAGCCCCGGGCUCAACCUGGGAACGGCAUCCGGAACUGUCAAGCUAGAGUGCAGGAGAGGAAGGUAGAAUUCCCGGUGUAGCGGUGAAAUGCGUAGAGAUCGGGAGGAAUACCAGUGGCGAAGGCGGCCUUCUGGACUGACACUGACACUGAGGUGCGAAAGCGUGGGUAGCAAACAGGAUUAGAUACCCUAGUAGUC